GACGAACGCUGGCGGCGUGCUUAACACAUGCAAGUCGAACGGAAAGGCCCUGCUUUUGUGGGGUGCACGAGUGGGGAACGGGUGAGUAACACGUGAGUAACCUGCCCUUGACUUUGGGAUAACUUCAGGAAAAUGGGGCUAAUACCGGAUAGGAGCUCCUGCUGCAUGGUGGGGGUUGGAAAGUUUCGGCGGUGGGGGCUGGACUCGCAGCUUAUCAGCUUGUUGGGGGGGUAGUGGCUUACAAAGGCUUUGACGGGUAGCCGGCCUUGGAGGGUGACCGGCCACAUUGGGACUGAGAUACGGCCCAGACUCCUACGGGAGGCAGCAGUGGGGAAUAUUGCACAAUGGGCGGAAGCCUGAUGCAGCAACGCCGCGUGCGUGAUGACGGCCUUCGGGUUGUAAACCGCUUUCGCCUGUGACGAAGCGUGAGUGACGGUAAUGGGUAAAGAAGCACCGGCUAACUACGUG
rnacentral:rRNA from 1 species